GAUGAAGAACGUAGCGAAAUGCGAUAAGUAGUGUGAAUUGCAGAAUUCAGUGAAUCAUCGAAUCUUUGAACGCACAUUGCGCCCCUUGGUAUCCCGAGGGGCAUGCCUGUUCGAGCGUCAUUUCACCACUCAAGCCUGGCUUGGUGUUGGGCGACGUCCCCUUUGGGGACGCGCCUCGAAACGCUCGGCGGCGUGGCACCGGCUUUAAGCGUAGCAGAAUCUUUCGCUUUGGAAGUCGGGGCCCCGUCUGCCGGAAGACCUACUCGCAAGGUUGACCUCGGAUCAGGUAAGGAUACCCGCUGAACUUAAGCAUAUCAAUAAGCGGAGGA
rnacentral:misc_RNA from 1 species